AAUCCGGUACAUUAGUGCUGGUAUGAUCGCAUCUGUUACUAUAUGCAAUGUAAUCGUAUCUAUUCUUUUUUAAAGACUUUAUGAUCCAUUUGCCGUGGGUCUCACCAGCUAUGUAGGAAUACCCUAUCUUCUUUAUAAGAGCUUUGAUAUAUGCAAAAUAUUGGAACACCAUGUCCGAACAUAUAAUUUUUCCCGUGUAAUAUAGCAAAGAUCAAGAAAAAGCCAAAAAAGUACAUUUAGGUCAAAAUUUGAGUAGAAAAAAACAAAUAGAAGAAUUCUAUAUUCCUUCCUCAUUCGUCGGAGAGCUCUCUUUGGGCUUUCCGAAAAGGUAUCAUAUGCCAAGUUUGGCCUCGCGGUCUAAAAGUUACGGAGUCUAACAUUUUUAACAAAACAAAAUAGAGAAAAACCGAAAAAAGAGGGAUGCAACACGAGGACUUUCCGGGAGGUCACCCAUCCUAGUACUACUCUCGCCCAAGCACCCUUAACUGCGGAGUUCUGAUGGGAUCCGGUGCAUUAGUGCUGGUAUGAUCGCAUGUGUUACUACAUGCAAUGUAAUCGUAUCUAUUCUUUCUUAAAGACUUUAUGAUCCAUUUGCCGUGAGUCCCACCAGCUAUGUAGGAAUACCCUAUCUUCUUUAUAAGAGCUUUGAUACAUGCAAAAUAUUGGAAAACAAUGUCCGAACAUAUAGUUUUCCCCCCGUAAUAUAGCAAAGAUCACGAAAAGGCCCGAAAAAGUACAUUUAGUUCAAAAUUUGGAGUAGAAAAAAAAACAAUAGAAGAAUUCCAUUUUCCUUCCUCAUUCAUCGGAGAGCUCUCUUUGGGCUUUCCGAAAAAGUAUCACAUGCCAAGUUUGGCCUCACGGUCUAAACGUUAUAGAGUCAUACAUUUUUAACAAUACAAAAUAGAGAAAAACCGAAAAAAGAGGGAUGCUACACGAAGACUUUCCGGGAGGUAAUCCAUCCUAGUACUACUCUUGCCCAAGCACCCUUAACUGCGGAGUUCUGAUGGAAUCUGGUGCAUUAGUGCUGGUAUGAUCGCAUGUGUUACUACAUGCAAUGUAAUCGUAUCUAUUCUUUUUUAAAGACUUUAUGAUCCAUUUGCCGUGGGUCCCACCAGCUAUGUAGGAAUACCCUAUUUUCUUUAUAAGAGCUUUGAUACAUGCAAAAUAUAUGAAAAAAACGU
rnacentral:sRNA from 1 species